UACGUAUGGGGCAAGCGUUAUCCGGAUUUACUGGGUGUAAAGGGAGCGUAGGUGGCAUGGCAAGUCAGAAGUGAAAGCCUGGGGCUCAACCCCGGAAUUGCUUUUGAAACUGUCAGGCUAGAGUGUCGGAGGGGUAAGCGGAAUUCCUAGUGUAGCGGUGAAAUGCGUAGAUAUUAGGAGGAACACCGGUGGCGAAGGCGGCUUACUGGACGAUUACUGACGCUGAGGCUCGAAAGCGUGGGGAGCAAACAGG
rnacentral:rRNA from 1 species